UUUUUCCUACGGGAGGCAGCAGUGGGGGAUAUUGCACAAUGGGGGAAACCCUGAUGCAGCGACGCCGCGUGGGUGAAGAAGCGCCUCGGCGCGUAAAGCCCUGUCAGCAGGGAAGAAAAUGACGGUACCUGAAGAAGAAGCCCCAGCUAACUACGUGCCAGCAGCCGCGGUAAUACGUAGGGGGCAAGCGUUAUCCGGAUUUACUGGGUGUAAAGGGGGCGCAGACGGCGAUGCAAGCCAGGAGUGAAAGCCCGGGGCCCAAC
rnacentral:rRNA from 1 species